rnacentral:rRNA from 1 species
UUACUAUAGCUUGACACUGAACAUUGAGCCUUGAUGUGUAGGAUAGGUGGGAGGCUUUGAAGUGUGGACGCCAGUCUGCAUGGAGCCGACCUUGAAAUACCACCCUUUAAUGUUUGAUGUUCUAACGUUGACCCGUAAUCCGGGUUGCGGACAGUGUCUGGUGGGUAGUUUGACUGGGGCGGUCUCCUCCUAAAGAGUAACGGAGGAGCACGAAGGUUGGCUAAUCCUGGUCGGACAUCAGGAGGUUAGUGCAAUGGCAUAAGCCAGCUUGACUGCGAGCGUGACGGCGCGAGCAGGUGCGAAAGCAGGUCAUAGUGAUCCGGUGGUUCUGAAUGGAAGGGCCAUCGCUCAACGGAUAAAAGGUACUCCGGGGAUAACAGGCUGAUACCGCCCAAGAGUUCAUAUCGACGGCGGUGUUUGGCACCUCGAUGUCGGCUCAUCACAUCCUGGGGCUGAAGUAGGUCCCAAGGGUAUGGCUGUUCGCCAUUUAAAGUGGUACGCGAGCUGGGUUUAGAACGUCGUGAGACAGUUCGGUCCCUA